rnacentral:rRNA from 1 species
UACGAGGGGGGCGAGCGUUGUUCGGAAUUAUUGGGCGUAAAGGGUGCGUAGGCGGUUCGGUAAGUUUCGUGUGAAAGCCCCGAGCUCAACUUGGGAAUUGCAGUGGAUACUGGCAGGCUGGAGUACGGUAGAGGAAGGUGGAAUUCCCGGUGUAGCAGUGAAAUGCGUAGAUAUCGGGAGGAACACCUGUGGCGAAAGCGGCUCACUGGACCAUAACUGACGCUGAUGCACGAAAGCUAGGGGAGCAAACAGG